CGGGAGGCAGCAGUGGGAAUAUGCACAAUGGAGGAAACUCUGAUGCAGCACGCCGCGUGGAGGAUGACGCAUUUCGGUGUGUAAACUCCUUUAUAUGGGAAGAUAAUGACGGUACCAUAUGAAUAAGCACCGGCUAACUCCGUGCCAGCAGCCGCGGUAAUACGGAGGGUGCAAGCGUUACUCGGAAUCACUGGGCGUAAAGCGCGCGCAGGCGGCUAUUUAAGUUGGAUGUGAAAGCGUACAGCUCAACUGUAGAACUGCAUCCAAAACUAUUUAGCUAGAGUGUGGGAGAGGAAGAUGGAAUUAGUUGUGUAGGGGUAAAAUCCGUAGAGAUAACUAGGAAUACCAAAAGCGAAGGCAAUCUUCUGGAACACUACUGACGCUGAGGCGCGAAGGCGUGGGGAGCAAACAGGAUUAGAUACCCUGGUAGUCCACGCAGUAAACGAUGAAUGUUAGUCGUCGGGUAGCUAGUCUAUUCGGUGAUGCAGCUAACGCAUUAAACAUUCCGCCUGGGGAGUACGGUCGCAAGAUUAAAACUCAAAGGAAUAGACGGGGACCCGCACAAGUGGUGGAGCAUGUGGUUUAAUUCGAAGAUACGCGAAGAACCUUACCUAGCCUUGACAUAUAUUAGAACAUUUUAGAGAUAAGAUGGUGCCUUCGGGAGCUUUUAUACAGGUGCUGCACGGCUGUCGUCAGCUCGUGUCGUGAGAUGUUGGGUUAAGUCCCGCAACGAGCGCAACCCUCGUCACUAGUUACUAACGGUUCGGCCGAGGACUCUAGUGAGACUGCCUUCGUAAGGAGGAGGAAGGUGAGGACGACGUCAAGUCAUCAUGGCCCUUACGGCUAGGGCAACACACGUGCUACAAUGGUUGGGACAAUGAGACGCGAUACCGCGAGGUGGAGCAAAUCUAUAAACCCAAUCUCAGUUCGGAUUGUAGUCUGCAACUCGACUACAUGAAGCUGGAAUCACUAGUAAUCGUAGAUCAGCUAUGCUACGGUGAAUACGUUCCCGGGUCUUGUACUCACCGCCCGUCACACCAUGGGAGUUGAUUUCACCCGAAGCGGGGAAGCUAAACUGGCUACC
rnacentral:rRNA from 1 species